CCUUUGACGUUAGCGGCGGACGGGUGAGUAACACGUGGGUAACCUACCUAUAAGACUGGGAUAACUUCGGGAAACCGGAGCUAAUACCGGAUAAUAUUUCGAACCGCAUGGUCCGAUAGUGAAAGAUGGUUUUGCUAUCACUUAUAGAUGGACCCGCGCCGUAUUAGCUAGUUGGUAAGGUAACGGCUUACCAAGGCGACGAUACGUAGCCGACCUGAGAGGGUGAUCGGCCACACUGGAACUGAGACACGGUCCAGACUCCUACGGGGGCAGCAGGG
rnacentral:rRNA from 1 species